rnacentral:tRNA from 1 species
GCUAGCGUAGCUUAGACCAAAGCGUAACACUGAAGAUGUUAAGAUCGGGCUGUAAUAAAGCUCCGCCAGCA